UACGUAGGUGGCAAGCGUUAUCCGGAAUUAUUGGGCGUAAAGCGCGCGUAGGCGGUUUUUUAAGUCUGAUGUGAAAGCCCACGGCUCAACCGUGGAGGGUCAUUGGAAACUGGAAAACUUGAGUGCAGAAGAGGAAAGCGGAAUUCCAUGUGUAGCGGUGAAAUGCGCAGAGAUAUGGAGGAACACCAGUGGCGAAGGCGACUUUCUGGUCUGUAACUGACGCUGAUGUGCGAAAGCGUGGGGAUCAAACAGGAUUAGAUAC
rnacentral:rRNA from 1 species